rnacentral:rRNA from 1 species
AUUGAACGCUGGCGGCAUGCCUUACACAUGCAAGUCGAACGGUAACAGGUCUUCGGACGCUGACGAGUGGCGAACGGGUGAGUAAUACAUCGGAACGUGCCCAGUCGUGGGGGAUAACUACUCGAAAGAGUAGCUAAUAACGCAUACGAUCUGAGGAUGAAAGCGGGGGACCUUCGGGCCUCGCGCGAUUGGAGCGGCCGAUGGCAGAUUAGGUAGUUGGUGGGAUAAAAGCUUACCAAGCCGACGAUCUGUAGCUGGUCUGAGAGGACGACCAGCCACACUGGGACUGAGACACGGCCCAGACUCCUACGGGAGGCAGCAGUGGGGAAUUUUGGACAAUGGGCGAAAGCCUGAUCCAGCAAUGCCGCGUGCAGGAUGAAGGCCUUCGGGUUGUAAACUGCUUUUGUACGGAACGAAAAAGUCUCCUCUAAUACAGGAGGCCCAUGACGGUACCGUAAGGAUAAGCACCGGCUAACUACGUGCCAGCAGCCGCGGUAA